UAUUUUUACAUUAACACACGCACACAGAGAAGAGCUCUCUCUCUCUUUAUUACAUUAUUGCACCAAUCAAAAACCCCUCUCUCUCAAAAGCGCGACCUCGAUCCAGAGCUUGUUCUUCUUUAAUUUUCAUCUGUAAAAAAUGCCACUCAGACUCGAAAUUAAGAGGAAACUUGCUCAAAGAUCAGAGAGAGUAAAAUCAGUAGAUCUCCAUCCAACAGAACCAUGGAUUCUAGCAAGUUUGUAUUCUGGAACUGUGUGUAUCUGGAACUACCAGUCACAGACCAUGGCUAAGUCAUUCGAGGUCACUGAGUUGCCAGUUAGGUCGGCUAAGUUUGUUGCACGCAAACAAUGGGUUGUUGCUGGAUCUGAUGACAUGUUUAUUCGUGUAUACAAUUACAACACCAUGGAUAAGGUCAAAGUAUUCGAGGCGCAUACUGAUUACAUUAGAUGUGUGGCUGUCCAUCCUACUCUUCCAUAUGUGUUGUCAUCAUCUGAUGAUAUGCUCAUAAAACUUUGGGACUGGGAGAAGGGUUGGGUGUGUACUCAGAUAUUUGAGGGACAUUCCCAUUAUGUCAUGCAAGUGACCUUUAAUCCGAAAGACACUAACACUUUUGCCAGUGCAUCUCUUGACCGUACCAUAAAGAUUUGGAACCUUGGCUCCCCCGACCCAAAUUUUACUUUGGAUGCCCAUCAUAAAGGUGUAAAUUGCGUCGAUUACUUUACAGGUGGUGAUAAGCCCUAUCUAAUCACUGGUUCUGAUGAUCACACUGCUAAGGUAUGGGACUACCAAACCAAGAGUUGUGUUCAGACUUUGGAAGGCCACACGCACAACGUUUCUGCAGUUUGUUUCCAUCCUGAACUUCCAAUUAUUAUUACUGGUUCUGAAGAUGGGACAGUUCGUAUCUGGCAUGCUACCACUUAUAGGCUUGAAAAUACAUUGAAUUAUGGUCUUGAGAGAGUUUGGGCAAUUGGAUAUAUGAAAGGUUCACGGAGGAUUGUGAUUGGGUAUGAUGAAGGAACUAUUAUGGUGAAAAUUGGUCGUGAAGUACCUGUAGCAAGUAUGGACAACAGUGGAAAAAUCAUAUGGGCUAAACACAAUGAAAUUCAAACCGUGAAUAUUAAGAGUGUAGGAGCAGAUUUUGAGGUUACUGAUGGGGAAAGAUUACCCUUGGCUGUUAAGGAAUUGGGGACAUGUGAUCUAUACCCUCAAAGCUUAAAACAUAACCCAAAUGGGAGGUUUGUUGUUGUCUGUGGAGAUGGUGAGUACAUCAUAUUUACAGCUUUGGCAUGGAGAAAUAGGUCAUUUGGUUCAGCAUUGGAAUUUGUUUGGUCAUCUGAUGGAGAGUAUGCUGUUAGGGAAAGCUCAUCAAGGAUUAAGAUUUUCAGCAAAAAUUUCCAGGAAAAGAGGAGUGUCCGGCCAACAUUCUCUGCUGAGCGUAUUUUUGGGGGCACUUUACUCGCAAUGUGCUCCAAUGAUUUUAUUUGUUUUUACGAUUGGGCUGAAUGCAGGUUGAUUCGUCGAAUUGAUGUUACUGUGAAAAAUCUCUACUGGGCUGAUAGUGGUGACUUGGUGGCAAUUGCCAGUGAUACAUCUUUCUAUAUUCUAAAGUACAAUCGGGAUGUAGUUCAAUCUUACUUAGAUAGUGGAAGACCAGUUGAUGAACAAGGAGUUGAGGAUGCAUUUGAACUUCUUCAUGAGACCAAUGAACGUGUCAGGACUGGCAUUUGGGUUGGGGACUGUUUCAUUUACAACAACUCUUCAUGGAGACUUAAUUACUGUGUCGGUGGAGAGGUGACCACAAUGUUUCAUUUGGACCGUCCUAUGUACUUAUUGGGAUAUCUUGCAAGUCAAAGUCGGGUAUAUCUGAUAGACAAAGAGUUUAAUGUUAUGGGAUACACAUUACUUCUCAGCAUGAUUGAGUACAAGACUCUUGUGAUGCGCGGAGAUUUGGAAAGGGCCAAUGAAAUUUUACCUUCAAUUCCUAAAGAGCACCAUAAUAGUGUGGCUCGUUUCCUGGAAUCACGAGGUAAGAUAGAGGAUGCUCUAGAAGUAGCUACAGACCCCGAUUACAGAUUUGAGCUUGCCAUACAGCUUGGUAAAUUAGAGAUUGCUAAGGAAAUAGCCACAGAAGUUCAGAGUGAGUCUAAAUGGAAGCAGUUGGGAGAAUUGGCUAUGUCCACUGGAAAGCUAGAAAUGGCUGAGGAAUGCAUGAAGCAUGCAAUGGACCUGAGUGGUUUAUUGCUGCUUUAUUCAUCAUUGGGAGAUGCAGAAGGAAUAUCAAGACUUGCAUUCCUUUCCAAAGAGCAAGGGAAGAACAAUGUUGCUUUCCUUUGUUUAUUCAUGUUGGGUAAAUUGGAGGAUUGCCUCGAGCUUUUGGUGGAAAGCAAUCGGAUAUCAGAGGCUGCUCUGAUGGCACGAUCUUAUCUUCCAAGCAAGGUUUCAGAGAUAGUACCAAUUUGGAGAAAAGACCUCAACAAGGUUAAUCCAAAAGCUGCUGAAUCUUUGGCUGAUCCUGAAGAGUAUCCAAACUUGUUUGAGGAUUGGCAACUUGCUCUUUCUGUUGAAUCUAAAGUGGAAGAAACAAGGGGUGUUUAUCCUCCUGCAGCAGACUAUUUGAACCAUGCUGAUAGAUCACAGAUGACACUUGUGGAGGCUUUCAGAAAUAUGCAAAUGGAGGAUGCGGAGCUUCUUGAAAAUGGUGACCUUGAUCAUGAGGCUGCAGAACCAAAUGGGCAUGAUCAGAAUUCAGAGGAGCAGAAUGGAGAAGAAGGUAGCCAAGAGGAGGCUGUUGUUGUGGAUGCUGAUUCUAAUGAUGGUGCAGUACUUGUUAAUGUUAACGAGCCUGAAGAAGAGUGGGGUAUGAAUAACAAAGGAACCCCGUCAGCCUAAAAGCAAUUGGUUGGGGCAGUGUGAAAAUCGAAAUUUUGUCUCUGUUCUUACACCAGAUCACUAGGUUUCAUGAAGACAUUCAGUUUGAGCUUCCAUUUAGCACAUAUUUAAGAUUUUGAGCUAGAAGCUAGCAAGAUGUGAUAUAUAUACAUAAGGGCUGAUUGUCUCGCAUUACCGGUGGUUUGGAUCUCUCAAGCACAUUGAAUUUUGGCAUGGGGGCAUAUACAAGUAUUCAGUUAGCUUUCAAAUUAUGAUUUUUAGUUGCUUGUCUUACGUUUUAGCAUAUUCUUUGGCGGGCAUUUUGUCCUAAAAAUUUUUCUUGUGCAAUCGUGAAUGUAGAAAGAAUUUGAGAAUUAGUGAUGACUACCCAAUUCAGCUAGGAAUUUGUAUGUUGUUUAAAAUUUAGGUACUAUUUUGGUUUCCCCUUAAGGCUUGGAUCAUUCGGUUGGAUCGUGAGAUUCUUUUUUUCCUCUCUCCAUAUGAAAUUUGAGCUGUAAACCUAUCUACAUAAAAAUCAUAAUAUGCGAAAUGAGUGUAAGCUCGUAUGCUAUGAAUGCUGUUUCAUAUCUUGGGCAUUGCAGAUUCGAAGCGAUUUAGGUGCCUAAUGGUUUUUUAGGCUAUUUAAGUAGAUAGGAGUUGGGAUUAAGGGUAAAUUUGUAAUUUAAAAAAAAAAGAAAUAAAAUGCAUAAUAUUGUUGGAUCACAACUUACUUUUCUGGCUCUCGCUCCUUCAUUUAGCUGUCCUACACAACGGUUUAAACGAUUAUAAAAUCCAACGUGAAAUACAGAAUUGCAUAACAUGUGGCCCUAUUCUAUAUGGAUUACAA